rnacentral:pre_miRNA from 1 species
UAUAUACUCCCUCCGUCCCAAAAUUCUUGUCUUAAAUUUGUCUACAUAUGGAUGUAUCAAGUCACGUUUUAGUAUUAUGUACAUUCGUAUCUAGACAAAUCUAAGACAAGAAUUUUGGGACGAAGGGAAUACUUG